rnacentral:rRNA from 1 species
ACAGUUCGGUCUCUAUCUAUCGUGGGCGUAUGAAAUUUGCGUGGCUCUGACACUAGUACGAGAGGACCGUGUUGGACAGACCUCUGGUUUGCCGGUUGUGCCGCCAGGUGCAUUGCCGGGUAUCUAAGUCUGGAUCGGAUAAGUGCUGAAAGCAUCUAAGUACGAAGCCGGCCACAAGAUUAGAUUUCUCAGGGUCGUUGUAGACUACGACGUUGAUAGGAUGCAGGUGUAAAGGUAGAGAUACCAAAGCCGAGCAUUACUAAUUGCCCGUCCACUUUCCUUA